GCGACUAUCAUUAUGUAGCUCUCUGCACGUCCAUCUCUAUUUGACUUUUCUUUGUCCCAGGAAACGCCGAGUUGCCGGUUCAGCCCCUUGGUCUGGAAGGACAUAGUAAAUCUACUGGUAAACAUGGUGGAAAAGAAAUUAAAUAUGGACUGAAUGGGUUCUUUGGCAAUGGAUACCAAGGUUAAGUCUAGUGAAAGUGGCCCAAAGGAACAUGUUCGGUCUUUUUUUACUGUACAUUUUUCUUGAAUUAUCUUUAUACUGCCCUUGAAUUGCUUUUCUCCUACCUCUUUUCCUGUUGUCGAGAUUGUGUUUUUGGCUUAGCCUCACCACUAGAGCUCAGAGAGCACAUGGCUAUUUGUUUGUCUAUGCAAUAUGCAAACCUCCCUCAUCAUUACCACUUAAUUUUCCUCUCUUGUCCUGGCGUUAAACUGAACACCAGGAUUUUAAGUCAGUUCAACACCUCGAAGUCAUCGCAUUGUUGCAACUGGAAUAUUCACUGCUUCCUUAGGUAUUAAUUAAGUAUAUUCUCAUUUCUGUUGUUCAGCCCUAGAAUUACUUGUUCUUAAUUUCGCAAACUCAACCUGGACUCAUUAUUCAACAAAUGAACGCAGACGACCUCUGGUUGAGUACUAUACUGGAUCAUUUCAGAAAAAUGUGUUUAACGUUGGGACUCUAAAUAC